UACGGAGGGUGCAAGCGUUGUUCGGAAUUAUUGGGCGUAAAGCGCGCGCAGGCGGUUUUUCAAGUCCAGGGGUGAAAUGCCGGAGCUCAACUCCGUGCCCGCCCCGGAUACUGGAAGACUGGAGACACGUAGAGGCAAGCGGAAUUUCGGGUGUAGCGGUGGAAUGCGUAGAGAUCCGAAAGAACACCGGAGGCGAAGGCGGCUUGCUGGCGUGAUCUGACGCUGAGGCGCGAAAGCGUGGGGAGCGAACGAGG
rnacentral:rRNA from 1 species